UGCUCCCUGCGGUGUUCGAUAUAGGCUGGAUAGUCUUUCGACCCUAAUUUUUGAUCUUGGGGUUGUGUUCUGUCGGUAGCGUUGUGCAGAUCUGGCUUUGCCAGAGAGCCUGCAACUGCCACGGCUUACCCCACCUAUUGCUCUGGUUCGAGAGCAACCAACUAUGACGGCACUAUCGGGGAGCAC
rnacentral:other from 1 species